rnacentral:rRNA from 1 species
GAUGAACGCUGGCGGCGUGCCUAAUACAUGCAAGUCGAGCGAACGGACGAGAAGCUUGCUUCUCUGAUGUUAGCGGCGGACGGGUGAGUAACACGUGGAUAACCUACCUAUAAGACUGGGAUAACUUCGGGAAACCGGAGCUAAUACCGGAUGAUAUUUUGAACCGCAUGGUUCAAAAGUGAAAGACGGUCUUGCUGUCACUUCUAGAUGGAUCCGCGCUGCAUUAGCUAGUUGGUAAGGUAACGGCUUACCAAGGCAACGAUGCAUAGCCGACCUGAGAGGGUGAUCAGCCGCACUGGCACUGGGACACGGUCCAGACUGCUUCGGGUGGCAGCCGUAGGGAAUCGUCCGGAAUGGGCGGAAGACUGACGGAGCAACGCCGCGUGAGGGAUGAAGGUCUUCGGAUCGGAAAACUCUGUUAUUAGGGAAGAACAUAUGUGUAAGUAACUGUGCACAUCUUGGCGGUACCUAAUCAGAAAGCCACGGCUUACUUCGUGC